GGGGUUGUAGUGUAACUUGGCUAGCAUACCAGCUUAGGGAGCUGGCGAUCUGGGUUCAAAUCCUGGCGACCCCA
rnacentral:tRNA from 9 species